AUGCAUCAUUUAUUAUAUUUAGAACAAACAAAAAUCCACAGACACAUAAUACAGGAGAACAUGUGUAUGAGAACACUUCCCCAUGUGACAAGACAAGUUGAACUGUAUUUCUAUUUUAAGAUGAAACAUUUGUGAAGUCUCUAUCUGCUCCAGGAAGACAAAAGUUAUUGUUUUUGUUAGUUUGUUGGUUAUAAUAUUUUUGGGAAGUCAUUAUGAAAAUAUUUUAACAAGAAAUAUGAAGAUUGUUUAUAAAUUAUUAGCCUACAACAAUAAAUAUGAAGGUUUUCUCUAAGUUUGAAUUUUUUAAGUUGCUACUAUUUUGAUAUAGGUUCUCUGUCUGUAGCCCCUUACUGAUCAUUAAAUGUAAAAUAAAUACAACCAAUACAAAGAAGUUGUAGCCCUUGUUCUUACAUCAGUUUAUCACUCAUAAAUGUGUUCCUGUAUGUUUUAAUGCUGAACUCGAUCUACAUGUUGUAAAAAUCUGGAUGAUUACACAAAGCCUUCAAAGGUUUUGCAGGCCUUGUGCUGUCUGAAGACACUAAGGAAAAGCAGUACUGUCAAGUUUUAUCCUGAAUAUUUAACUGGCCCUGAGGUUUCUGGACUGGUGCAGCAGAUUACUUAAUGUUCCAAGGAUACUGUUAAAAAUGGGAUCCAAGUCAUCUUCUUCUUCUCUACUCUUCUUCUAGCUGCUGUCUUUCAAGUCAAGUAUCUGCCUCCAUCUCACCUAUAGUCUCACUUUAUCCCUUUGGUCAAUAUUUCGGUACAUGUACAGGACAUACAAGAGAAUCAAACUGCUGUCGGUGGAAAUGGUUGCAUUAAUGUGCCGAAGACUUUCAGCAUCAUUAAAAGAAUAGAAUGUAUUUUGUGUGUGAGAGUGUGCUGGGGGAUAGGGGGGAGGCAGUAAAGAGUUCAGUCUUCUGACAAUCUCGUAAAUGGAGCUAUUCAAG
rnacentral:lncRNA from 1 species